GAUGAACGCUGGCGGCGUGCCUAAUACAUGCAAGUCGAGCGAAUGGAUUGAGAGCUUGCUCUUAUGAAGUUAGCGGCGGACGGGUGAGUAACACGUGGGUAACCUGCCCAUAAGACUGGGAUAACUCCGGGAAACCGGGGCUAAUACCGGGUAACAUUUUGAACCGCAUGGUUAGAAAUUGAAAGGCGGCUUCGGCGGUCACUUAGGGAUGGACGCGCGUCGCAUUAGCUCGUUGGUGAGGUAACGGCUCACCAAGGCAACGAUGAGUAGCCGACCUGAGAGGGUGAUCGGCCACACUGGGACUGAGACACGGCCCAGACUCCUACGGGAGGCAGCAGUAGGGAAUCUUCCGCAAUGGACGAAAGUCUGACGGAGCAACGCCGCGUGAGUGAUGAAGGCUUUCGGGUCGUAAAACUCUGUUGUUAGGGAAGAACAAGUGCUAGUUGAAUAAGCUGGCACCUUGACGGUACCUAACCAGAAAGCCACGGCUAACUACGUGCCAGCCGCCGCAGUAA
rnacentral:rRNA from 1 species